rnacentral:lncRNA from 1 species
AUAAAAUUUAGCAUUUGAGUUCUCAAUGACUCUUGUCUACACAGUAGAGUGCAGGACUUAAUGAGAUACUGACACCAGUGGAAGCUGUGUGGGAUAUCUAAUGUCACAUGAUCAUUGUCUAUCUUUCUUCUGACAUGAUCUCUCUGAGAGUCAAACAUAUCAGCAAGUACGUCCUAGAGUCACAGCAGAGGUGAAAGGUCUGCAGAACCAGGACAUUGUAGCGGUAUUCCUGACCAAGCUAUUUCUCCAGCUGGUGAAAUCCCAAGGCACAGAUGCAGACCUCAAAAGUGAGUGAGGACAGACUGGUAUACGCAAAGCUGAAAUUACCCUAUUCAAGGAAACAGGACAAAAGACAUCCAGUGGGUAAAAGGAGAGUAUUUCCAUGGCAUAUGGUUGCAUUAAUCCUAGGAGUUAUAUGUUUUUU